UAUUGUCUCCUAGAGAGUUCUGGCAUCCUCUGUGAUGUCACCAGUGUUGUAGUGACAACCAGUGCCCUAGUUUCUCUCAGUCUGAGUCUGGCAGUUGCAAGCUAAGACAUGUUUUCCCGUCUUCGCAAGCGUUUUGGGAGGGGGAACGUCGAUUGUGGAGAGACUAGAGUGAAGGAGUCUAGCCUUUCCUCUCAAAGUAAUUAUGGACAAAGACAGCACUUCUGGGGAAUGUUCAGUAAGUUCUGGGCAGUGUAUUUUGAGCUUCCUGUCAGGGGGGCUGGAGGCUUAAGCUGACCUUUCUAGCCACAACAACUGGAGCAUCUGAAAAGGAAUUGAAUUUCCAUGAAUAUUACAAUUCUUAAAGUCAAGGAUUUCAGACCUUUAGUUUCCCCAUCCCCACUGGGAGGAUAAGGUAAGGCCAAUGCUAUUAUACUGUGAACUUCUGGCCUUUACUUUUCAGUGCAUUUGUUAUGUUACAUUGAUAUAAUAACACCAUCAGGAGUCAUGGAGGGUCCACCUUUUCUGAGUUUAGACAGGGCAGCAAUGUACUUCACUAUCAUUGCUUCUUUAAAUACAGUGGGUAUCUGACAGUAGGAACAGGGAGAGAAUUGUGCUCCAGGCAAUAACCUUAUGUUCUUAGACCUUCUCUGAUUUCUUCUAACUGGAAGGGUCAUCGUUAGCUUUAUAUAUUAGAGGUUGUGUGUUACAAACAUGUUUCUACAAUACAAAAGGUAUUUGGAACGUGUAGACCAAGAUGCAGCCUGUAACCUAUUGGCACUUCUGGGGUUUUGGUGUUUCAAAUAGGGGAACAGAUAAGUCUGUUGACCAUGUCCUCCUUGGAAAUGCAUUUUAAAUCUAAAGUUGUUGGCCUAGAGUACCAGGGUAGGACAUCUGAGUGUCUCCAAUCAUUCAAAUGUUGUAGAUGGUGAAUUUAUCAUCUGAGUUCUGAAACCACAGGGGUGAGGAAACCAAGCUGUACCCUGUUCAGCUGAUAAUAAUCCUGGAGAAGCCAUCUCCGUCGUCCAUGUAAGCACGUGAUAUCCGGCAUAGGGAACACCUGGCUGCUUACAUCUCUUGGUCUCUAUAGAGUAGUGGGAGAACUGAGAUCCACUGAGGAGGAUCUUAAGCAUAGACCAAUCGCCUAGCAGUGACACUGGGUUCCAGGCUUGUUCUCCUGUUUAGGCCUAACUCUGGCCUAUGUACACUCUAUGCAUUCUCCCCAUGCAGGUUCACUUGUGUUCUUCUACCUACAGACGCUGGGAGAGAAACAUCUUCCCCUGAAACUGCCCUAAGCGAGAAGCAGGCCAAGAAGGAAAAGGAGAGGCUGAUUAAAGAGCUGCAGCUCAUUACCGAGGAGAGAAAUGACCUGAGAUAUCGCCUGAGGUUUCUGACAGAGAGAUCCAAGAACAACAGGCCACACUUCAGGCCAAAUCCGUAUUACGAAGACCUGGAGAGAAUGGAGGAGGCGGUCAUGUCAAUUCUGCACAACUUAGAGAUGGAGAACACUGAGAUCCAUGAGAACAGCCAUAAGCUGAAGAAGGAGAUUACCUUCUCUAGGUAAGUCCUGGUCAGAAAGGCUAUCACCUGUGGAAUGGCCAUUUCUGAUUUCUUUGUUAUGGAUUGGAAGGUCUUCAGCUAUGAUUCUAUCUCUUGUGCUGUUUACACAUCAGUGUGCCAGGGUCAUUAGGACUCAGUUUUCAGUUCCAUAAAAGACUGUUACUCAUCCCAGGAUUGUCUAGGCAUCUUCAGAAGGCUCCAGAUAGAACAGUAGUGAUUGAAGUCAGCAGAAGGUUAUUAGGCUGACCUGGACCUAUGGUGUCAUACCAGGUUUUACAAAACUUAGUGCGUGGACCACAUGGUUAGCAUGACCUUCUCUUGGUUCUACUGACCUGCUUUGAGGGUGUUUGCCAACUACUAAUUGAUGUUGCCCCCAUGCAUUGGGCUUUCAUGGAUAGUUGUAGAUCCAUGUUCUUUUUGAGAGAUGCGGACACUAAUUGGUGCUCGGCCCAAACAAACAAUUUAUUCUUCCUGGAAUUAACUCUUUGUGGUUUGUGCAGCAGCCUUAUAUGUAUCGAGAUGUAUUUUAUUAACUCUUCAUGGGUACCUGGAACCUGGUAUGGUUAGUGGGACUUGGGAGUAGGAAUGGGAGAAAGGGCCAGCAUGAUCUUACUAUGCAGACUGUAUUUCCAGAAACCUGCUCAGCCAGCUCCUGAUGGAGAACACAUGUAGGAAGAAGUUGGUCCCACAGAAGCAGGGGAGCAAGGAGGGACAUCUUGAUUGUGCACUGAACCAGAAAUAUUUGGUUGACUUCAACCAGAAAGAUAAAGACCAGCAACGUCCAGAUCCAGCAUCAUCAGGUCUCAGAAAGUGCAAGAGAGCUGGAAUUGGACACACACCAGUAAGAGAGCUUCCUGAAGAAUGAGUUGCUUUCUCAGGAGUCCCUGAUGACAAACAUCCUGAAUGGUAACAACAUUUUUUGGAUGAGUAUUCUUCCUCAGAGUUAAUUUGUCAUUUCUUAGAGACCCUCAAUUUAUAUAACACUAAGCCAGCCUGACUGAUUGAGGUCUUACUCACUUUCUUUUUCAGAAAACAGCACUUGAGAGACAACUUGGGGGACUGCCUUUCAUUAUGUGUGCUAGAGGAGAAACAGCAAUACGUCUAUGCUUCUAAAUGUUCGUUAAGAAUAUGCUCUUUAGAAAUAUUUUUGUUUUGAUUUUCAUUGAAGUUUUCUUUUUGUUGUUUCAUAUUUAUAUGUUCUUGUUACUAUUUUUCACUUUGAAAUAUUUUUAAAUAUUUUUAUUCAUUUUAAUCCUGUUUUGUUGUCAAAAUGUAUUUGUUAUCAAUAAAAAUUGAAUUCUA